rnacentral:rRNA from 1 species
CACGGAGUUAGCCGAUCCUUAUUCUCACGGUACAUUCAGCCCGGUAUACAUACCGGGGGUUAUUCCCGUGCAAAAGCAGUUUACAACCCGUAGGGCCGUCUUCCUGCACGCGGCAUGGCUGGUUCAGGGUUCCCCCCAUUGACCAAUAUUCCUUACUGCUGCCUCCCGUAGAGUCUGGUCCGUGUCUCAGUACCAGUGUGGGGGUUUCUCCUCUCAGAGCCCCUAGACAUCGUCGCCUUGGUGGGCCGUUACCCCGCCAACCAGCUAAUGUCACGCGAGCCCAUCCGUCCCCUAUGAAUAUUUAAAUGAAGGCCCAUGCGGACCUGCAUUCUCAUGCGGUAUUAAUCCGGAUUUCUCCGGGCUAUCCCCCUGGGACGGGCAGGUUGCUCACGCGUUACGCACCCGUGCGCCACUCUCACGGGGACCGAAGCCCCCGAUCCCGUUCGACUUGCAUGUAUUAGGCCUGCCGCUAGCGUUCAUCCUGAGCCAGGAUCAAACUC